CGGGGCGUGGCGCAGUCUGGAUAGCGCGCCUGGCUUGGGUCCAGGAGGUCGCCGGUUCAAAUCCGGCCGCCCCGACCC
rnacentral:tRNA from 1 species